rnacentral:rRNA from 1 species
GACGAACGCUGGCGGCGUGCUUAACACAUGCAAGUCGAACGGAAAGGCCCUUCGGGGUACUCGAGUGGCGAACGGGUGAGUAACACGUGGGUGAUCUGCCCUGCACUUUGGGAUAAGCCUGGGAACCUGGGUCUAAUACCGAAUAUGAUCAUCGGCUUCAUGGUCGGUGGUGGAAAGCUUUUGCGGUGUGGGAUGGGCCCGCGGCCUAUCAGCUUGUUGGUGGGGUAAUGGCCUACCAAGGCGACGACGGGUAGCCGGCCUGAGAGGGUGACCGGCCACACUGGGACUGAGAUACGGCCCAGACUCCUACGGGAGGCAGCAGUGGGGAAUAUUGCACAAUGGGCGCAAGCCUGAUGCAGCGACGCCGCGUGAGGGAUGACGGCCUUCGGGUUGUAAACCUCUUUCAGCACAGACGAAGCGCAAGUGACGGUAUGUGCAGAAGAAGGACCGGCCAACUACGUG